AUACGUAGGUGGCAAGCGUUGUCCGGAAUUAUUGGGCGUAAAGCGCGCGCAGGUGGUUCCUUAAGUCUGAUGUGAAAGCCCCCGGCUCAACCGGGGAGGGUCAUUGGAAACUGGGGAACUUGAGUGCAGAAGAGGAUAGUGGAAUUCCAAGUGUAGCGGUGAAAUGCGUAGAGAUUUGGAGGAACACCAGUGGCGAAGGCGACUGUCUGGUCUGUAACUGACACUGAGGCGCGAAAGCGUGGGGAGCAAACAGGAUUAGAUACCCUGGUAGUCCACGCCGUAAACGAUGAGUGCUAAGUGUUGGGGGUUUCCGCCCCUCAGUGCUGCAGCUAACGCAUUAAGCACUCCGCCUGGGGAGUACGGUCGCAAGACUGAAACUCAAAUGAAUUGACGGGG
rnacentral:rRNA from 1 species